rnacentral:misc_RNA from 1 species
UGACACUGCCAUAUGGUGAACCCCAUAAAGCUAACCAUUUGUUCAAACGCUGCUAAGAUAAUUGGGCGAAGAUUGAAGACAAUUUAGAAGUUGGAAUUUUUUUUUCUUUUAAGGGAAAACAACUUCCAGCUGUUAAGAGAAAACAACCUUUCUACAACAAAUGAUGAACACAAGCGCCCAAAUCAGGACGAAUUUCAUUUUGGUAAAGAUAGGACAACAAAUCAUAGAAAACAUAUCAUCAUAUCAUUUGACCUAUUGCUUGAGCAUCAUCUCUUUCUGCAAGUCAGCACAAGCAUUUUCAAACUCACAGCUCUGCAAGCAAGUGAAAUUUAAUUGUUAUAAUCAUACUGCAGAUAGGGACAAAGAAAGAAAACCACCUUGUGUGCACGUAACCUGAUUUCUAACUAUACUUAUCCUGAAAUCAUAAAAAUUGAUAAACCAUCAUACCUUGAUAACAGUCUAUGUCUCGUGGCUCCACAAGGAUAUAAAGUGGCUUUCCUUUGAGCCUGCACUGCCCCUGAAAGACAACAAUGUCACGAGUAAAGAUCAAAAAUUAAGCUUGCAGAGGAAAUAAACAUGAAGUGAAUUAUCAACCCACAUUGCAUUCGAAUUUGCAGGCAUGAAUAGCUAAAUUAUUACGAUGAAUUGGCUUCCAGAAUAUACCAUCACUGGCAUGAUUUAUAUGUUUGACGCAACUAGGCAAGGGAAUCAACAGUUUGUAGAAAAACUAUAUCAGACAGUAGCUAAUAUCCUGUUUAAUAAUAAAUAGCUCAGAGAGAAGGAAUUGAGAGACAACAAGAAGGCAUCAGGUCAAGUCUCACUUCCCCUGAAUUAAUCUUUAUAUUAAAUUAAAGAUUUCUUCCCCCAUUUCUUCAUUUCUCAGUGAAGGUUUUUACAUAAAAAACAAAACUACAAAGAGAUAACAUAGCCGGCAUAACAAUGGUAAUGCUUAAAUCAUUACCUUAGCCUCUGGCAACCCAAUAACACAUGCGCAUUCGACAACUUCAGCCCCCAUGCGUUCUAAGAAAACAUCAUUAUGACACAUUAUUUGUGAGAAUAAGCCAAACAGCAGAUAGUAAAUAAAGGUAACGUGGUCAAGGCCCAAGGUGGAUGCCAAGCGUCAUUAUGACACAUUAUUUGUGAGAAUAAGCCAAACAGCAGAUAGUAAAUAAAGGUAACGUGGUCAAGGCCCAAGGUGGAUGCCAAGC